AAGGUGGGGAUGACGUCAAGUCCUCAUGGCCUUUAUGACCAGGGCUACACACGUACUACAAUGGCCGGUACAAAGGGCAGCGACACAGCGAUGUGAAGCCAAUCCCGAAAAGCCGGUCUCAGUCCGGAUUGGAGUCUGCAACUCGACUCCAUGAAGUUGGAAUCGCUAGUAAUCGCGGAUCAGCACGCCGCGGUCGAAUACGUUCCCGGGCCUU
rnacentral:rRNA from 1 species